GUUGGGUUACUGUUCUAUUCCUUCCUGGCAGCCACCGGAAACAGUCCGGCUCAAGUCAAAGGUGACGUGGGAGAAAAACACAGCGUCACUAUUUACUCGAGCUUGUCCAUGUCACCGGGCCGCCGCUGAGGCAUCGGGGAGGCAGACAUGAAGACAGGCAGCUGGGCCAACAGCAGCGACAAGAGCAGAGACGAGGAGGAGUCCAGCAGCACUGCGGCAGGAGAAGAGGAAGAAAACGGAAGCAAUUAGCGGUGGAAGCGCCGUCAUCUGGCCGUAAUGAUGAUGACCUCAGGCCACGGCUGUCAACUCCGGGGAAGAUAUUGCAGCAUAAUGCAGAUCAUGAAAGACAUCAGCAUCACUCCUGGACGGGGAAGAAGCAGCGCCAUGAAUGCUGCUGAUUGUCACACCUGCAAGUGGAUAGGUGCAUGUGUUGCUGCUAUAAAUUAUAUAGCAGAGCGGCACGGGGGCCAAGUCAGACUCUACAAAACAGUCAGCUCAUUCAUUCUUUCUGCCUUUCAACUUCAAAUACAAACCCGUGUAAAGUAUUAAAAAAAGGGGUUGGACCACAGCAGUGCUUGAUAAUUACAGGUGGACCGCAAGGCCAAAUAACACACCGGGAUAAUUUCAGGACAGCAACGCACUCACACACACACACACACACACACAAAGAAACAAAGGUUUCAUACUGGAACGCAGCCACUUACGUACAUUUCAUAUUGGUUGAAAUCCAACACAACCCCCAAUCAGCAGGCAAAAUCAAUAAAUAUGAAACUCCAGUCAGUGUUAUCCUUGUCAGUCAAAAUGAGGAGCAAAAUGUGUCCAGAGAAGACAAGUAGAAGUGAAAAAACUUUUUCUGUUCUUUUCUGUUUUUUUCUGCGUGUGGAGCAAAGUAGUGAGAUGACUUUAUGGAAGGUUAGAGAGACACUUGGAUAGAGUGGAGGUAUAUAGACAGACGCACAGACGGAAAGAGAAAAUGCAGAGAGCGAAGGGAUGCGAUGUGUGCUAAGUCCCAAUUUUUGCAAGUGAAGUGUUUAGGCUUGUUUAAAACUUCCUU